GAUGAACGCUGGCGGCGUGCCUAAUACAUGCAAGUCGAGCGAACAGACGAGGAGCUUGCUCCUCUGACGUUAGCGGCGGACGGGUGAGUAACACGUGGAUAACCUACCUAUAAGACUGGGAUAACUUCGGGAAACCGGAGCUAAUACCGGAUAAUAUAUUGAACCGCAUGGUUCAAUAGUGAAAGACGGUUUUGCUGUCACUUAUAGAUGGAUCCGCGCCGCAUUAGCUAGUUGGUAAGGUAACGGCUUACCAAGGCAACGAUGCGUAGCCGACCUGAGAGGGUGAUCGGCCACACUGGAACUGAGACACGGUCCAGACUCCUACGGGAGGCAGCAGUAGGGAAUCUUCCGCAAUGGGCGAAAGCCUGACGGAGCAACGCCGCGUGAGUGAUGAAGGUCUUCGGAUCGUAAAACUCUGUUAUUAGGGAAGAACAAAUGUGUAAGUAACUAUGCACGUCUGGACGGUACCUAAGCAGAAAGCCACGGCUAACUACGG
rnacentral:rRNA from 1 species